rnacentral:rRNA from 1 species
CUUGAGAACUCUGGUUAAGGAACUCUGCAAAUUGAUACCGUAACUUCGGAAGAAGGUAUGCCUUUUUUGGUCACUGGACUUGCUCCAGGAAGCUGAAGAAGGCCGCAGGUAAUCGGGGGCUGCGACUGUUUACCAAAAACACAGGACUCUGCGAACACGUAAGUGGAUGUAUAGGGUCUGACGCCUGCCCGGUGCUGGAAGGUUAAUUGAUGGGGUCAGCCGCAAGGCGAAGCUCUUGAUCGAAGCCCCAGUAAACGGCGGCCGUAACAAUAACGGUCCUAAGGUAGCGAAAUUCCUUGUCGGGUAAGUUCCGACCUGCACGAAUGGCGUAACGCUGGCCCCACUGUCUCGACCAGAGACUCAGUGAAGUUGAAAUCGCUGUGAAGAUGCGGCGUAGCUGCGGAAAGACGGAAAGACCCCGUGAACCUUUACUACAGCUUUACACUGAACUUUGAGUUUAUUUGUGUAGGAUAGGUGGGAGCCUUUGAAGCAGGGGCGCUAGCUCUUGUGGAGGCAACCUUGAAAUACCACCCUGAUAACUUCGGAGUUCUAACCUAGAUCCGUAAUCCGGAUUGGGAACACUGUAUGGUGGGUAGUUUGACUGGGGCGGUCUCCUCCCAAAGAGUAACGGAGGAGUGCAAAGGUACCCUCAGCGCGGUCGGUCAUCGCGCUUUUGAGUGCAAUGGCAUAAGGGUGCUUGACUGCGAGACGUACAUGUCGAGCAGGAACGAAAGUUGGUCAUAGUGAUCCGGUGGUUCUGUAUGGAAGGGCCAUCGCUCAACGGAUAAAAGGUACUCCGGGGAUAACAGGCUUAUUCCUCCCAAGAGUCCACAUCGACGGAGGAGUUUGGCACCUCGAUGUCGGCUCAUCACAUCCUGGGGCUGUAGCAGGUCCCAAGGGUUCGGCUGUUCGCCGAUUAAAGUGGUACGCGAGCUGGGUUCAAAACGUCGUGAGACAGUUUGGUCCCUAUCUUCCGUAGCCGUUGGAGAUUUGAGGGUGAGUUGCUCCUAGUACGAGAGGACCGGAGUGAAUGUAUCUCUGGUGUUCCGGUUGUCACGCCAGUGGCACUGCCGGGUAGCUAUAUACAGACGGGAUAACCGCUGAAAGCAUCUAAGCGGGAAGCCCCCCCCAAGACGAGAUCUCCCUGAGGACUUGAUCCUCCUAAAGGGCCCAAGAAGACUACUUGGUUGAUAGGCUGGGUGUGUACGCGUAGCAAUACGCUUAGCUAACCAGUACUAAUUGCCCGUGAGGCUUGACU